UACAGAGGUCCCAAGCGUUGUUCGGAUUCACUGGGCGUAAAGGGUGCGUAGGCGGUCGAGUAAGUCUGACGUGAAAUCUCCGGGCCUAACCCGGAAACUGCGUCGGAUACUAUCCGGCUAGAGGAUUGGAAGGGAGACUGGAAUACUUGGUGUAGCAGUGAAAUGCGUAGAUAUCAAGUGGAACACCAGUGGCGAAGGCGAGUCUCUGGACAAUUCCUGACGCUGAGGCACGAAAGCCAGGGGAGCAAACGGG
rnacentral:rRNA from 1 species